AGAGAGAGACAUGCGCGCAUAUCAAUAAGCGGAGGAAAAGAAACUAACUAGGAUUCCCUCAGUAACGGCGAGUGAAGCGGGAAGAGCUCAAAUUUGAAAUCUUCAAGGUUCUACCUUGACGAAUUGUAGUUUAAAGAAGUGUUUUCUGUUGGAGUUUUGGUAAAAGUUCUUUGGAAUAGGACAUCAUAGAGGGUGAGAAUCCCGUAUUUGACCAUUACUUUCAGCUUUGUGAUACACUUUCAAAGAGUCGGACUGUUUGGGAAUGCAGUCCAAAAUGGGUGGUAAAUUUCAUCUAAAGCUAAAUAUUGGCGAGAGACCGAUAGCGAACAAGUACCGUGAGGGAAAGAUGAAAAGAACUUUGAAAAGAGAGUUAAACAGUACGUGAAAUUGUCAAAAGGGAAGCGUUUGACACCAGUGUUGUUUUUCUGAAAAUCAAUUAAAAAACUGUUUAUGCUAAGCUGUUUAGACUUUAUCAGCUAUCUGUUUAGUUUUGAGCUUUUCUUUAAUGCACUUUUCAGUUAACAAGUCAACAUCAAUUUCUUUUGCUGUAAAAAAGCUUGAGGAAGGUGGCUUGAGAUUCGUCUUAAGUGUUUAUAGCCUCUUGCCUAUGCAGUCGGAGAGAUUGAGGUCUGCAGCGUAGAUCCUUCGGGGCUAAAUGCAUUUGUGCUAAGUUAUAACAUUUUAUAGACAACUUGUUGACUAUGAUUUGUCUUGUAGCUUACUCGCUUAUGUUAUUUUACCUACGCUUAGGAUGUUGAUGUGAUACUGCGAGCA
rnacentral:rRNA from 1 species